UGGGGAAUAUUGGACAAUGGGCGCAAGCCUGAUCCAGCCAUGCCGCGUGAGUGAUGAAGGCCCUAGGGUUGUAAAGCUCUUUCACCGGUGAAGAUAAUGACGGUAACCGGAGAAGAAGCCCCGGCUAACUUCGUGCCAGCAGCCGCGGUAAUACGAAGGGGGCUAGCGUUGUUCGGAAUUACUGGGCGUAAAGCGCACGUAGGCGGACAUUUAAGUCAGGGGUGAAAUCCCGGGGCUCAACCCCGGAACUGCCUUUGAUACUGGGUGUCUAGAGUUCGAGAGAGGUGAGUGGAAUUCCGAGUGUAGAGGUGAAAUUCGUAGAUAUUCGGAGGAACACCAGUGGCGAAGGCGGCUCACUGGCUCGAUACUGACGCUGAGGUGCGAAAGCGUGGGGAGCAAAACAGGAUUAGAUACCCUGGUAGUCCACGCCGUAAACGAUGGAAGCCAGCUGUCGGCAAGUUUACUUGUCGGUGGCGCAGCUAACGCAUUAAGCUUCCCGCCUGGGGAGUACGGUCGCAAGAUUAAAACUUAAAUGAAAUUGACGGGGUCAUAGCUGUUUCCUG
rnacentral:rRNA from 1 species